rnacentral:rRNA from 1 species
AGAGUUUGAUCAUGGCUCAGGAUGAACGCUGGCGGCGUGCUUAACACAUGCAAGUCGAGCGAAGCGAUUUAAAUGAGACUUCGGUGGAUUUUAAAUUGACUGAGCGGCGGACGGGUGAGUAACGCGUGGAUAACCUGCCUCACACAGGGGGAUAACAGUUAGAAAUGACUGCUAAUACCGCAUAAGCGCACGGUACUGCAUGGUACAGUGUGAAAAACUCCGGUGGUGUGAGAUGGAUCCGCGUCUGAUUAGGUAGUUGGUGAGGUAACGGCCCACCAAGGCGACGAUCAGUAGGGGUUCUGAGAGGAAGGCCCCCACAUUGGAACUGAGACACGGUCCAAACUCCUACGGGAGGCAGCA